AGUAAAUCAGCGAGCAAGAGCAGAAGCACCAGAGACGUCCCCUUUUGCAGUGUCUCGACCACUGCAGCCCCUCUGCACAGUACCUCUCAGAAUAGUUGAAGAAAAAGACAAACUAUAUACAGGGAUCACUUCACCCAUCCAUGUCACAUCUGGGGUGGAACUCAACCGCUGCUUGACUGAACACAGCAAUACUACUCACAAUGUGUGACGGCGUCGGGAAGGCUGCAAUCCAGUUGAAGAAGGGUACAAUACAAUUGAAACUGAAGGGGACAUUUAGUGGUGACCAGUGACCGCAACCAAGAUCGAGGUCCCAUUGUGCUAAGUUCUGUACACGCAUGGU